GCUGACCAAGUGCCAGGCCUCACUGAAGCUGACCUCCGCGUUAACCCUGGACACAAGCCGAGCAGGAAGGAUAAUGCCGGCUUGACAACUCCACUGGUUUCUGCUCCCACUGGCCCUACCUCUGUUAGAGGUGUUCGCCAGGCACCCCAUGCGGUCACCAGCAGACAGCCGCUUUCUGCACAAGUUCCAAGAUGGACUCACAGCAGUCCCCGCCAGCCAUGACGCUGAGAUGGGUGUACACCCAGCUCUGGAGGAACCCAACCGCCUGUGGUCUCUCCACAACGGCUGCAAAAUACUGCUUCAGUUUUGAUUCUUUCAUGGAGGAAGACGUAACUUCAAGUUAAAAGCAGCAGGCGCACCGCUCACCCCUGGACGCUGAGGCUAGACACUGGGUGGAAACCGGUUCCUUCCGGCCCCCGGGCCCUGCACCAGAGCUCGACCCCCACCGCCUCACCUGUCCUGAUGGCGUCCUCCAGCCUGGGGUUUCUCUCUCCCUGGAGAAGCUGGUGGUAGUAGCCGGGAUUCUGGUCCAUCUGCGCCUGGGCCCCACUCAGCACCAUCCAGACGCGGGCACGGUGCUCCAGCGGGACCCCUUUCCGGACAUAGCGCUUCACUGAAGGCCGAGAGGACGGACAGCGUGUGAGCUGGACCAGGGGCCUGCGGGGCCCACGCGUUCCUGCCACACUUUCCACUCUCACCAGUUCUCUUCUUAAAUCAAAUAUUAAAGAGACCCAGAACUUCGUCCAUCUCCACCAAAACUGGUACAUAUACUCCUUUAAAAAUUCUGCUCUCCUCUCCCUCUCAACAGAGCACAAACCAGACUGGCUACAGAACCGCCCCCACGCCCACUUCACCAUUCAAUGCAGGUGGUCAAGAAACAGAGCCGCGGUCAGAUGGCUGCUCUGCAAAGCUUCCUGGCAGCCGUGCAGAGCAGCAGCAAAGGGGCAAAGCAGUGAGAGGCCCAGCUGAGUACAAGGAGGCCGGCUGGGCUCAGCUGUGAGCACCUCAGAUUCUCCGCUGUAACCAACCUCCAGGUCACAGCCACAGGACUUCCCACGGACUUCCCCUGCUCUUAAAGCAAACUGCAGAACCAAGCGUGGACUUCUGCUCCUGAGGGGGACGGAAGGACAGUCCCCUGCGGUCAUCUCUAUAGGAGAUGGGGGCCAUGGGUGGGAGAGAAACUCCCUGUUGCACUUUGUAGCCCUCAGUAUGAUUAAAGUGUUUACCAUGUACAUAAAUUAUGCUUUUUAAGUUCACAUGUCUUAUAUACUUUUACGUUACUUUUUAAAAUUAAAAGACAGUUAACUUUUAAGAAUAA
rnacentral:lncRNA from 1 species